rnacentral:rRNA from 1 species
GACGAACGCUGGCGGCGUGCUUAACACAUGCAAGUCGAACGAUGAACCGGAGCUUGCUCUGGGGAUUAGUGGCGAACGGGUGAGUAACACGUGGGCAACCUGCCCCAGACACCGGGAUAACCAUUCGAAAGGAUGGCUAAUACCGGAUACGACCACUUCGGGCAUCCGAUGGUGGUGGAAAGGAUUCUGGUCUGGGAUGGGCCCGCGGCCUAUCAGCUUGUUGGUGGGGUAAUGGCCUACCAAGGCGACGACGGGUAGCCGGCCUGAGAGGGCUACCGGCCACACGGGGACUGAGAAACGGCCCAGACUCCUACGGGAGGCAGCAGUGGGGAAUAUUGCGCAAUGGGCGAAAGCCUGACGCAGCGACGCCGCGUGAGGGACGAAGGUCUUCGGAUUGUAAACCUCUUUCAGCAGGGAUGAAGCGAAAGUGACAGUACCUGCAGAAGAAGCACCGGCUAACUACGUGCCAGCAGCCGCAGUAAAAC